rnacentral:rRNA from 1 species
GACGAACGCUGGCGGCGUGCCUAACACAUGCAAGUCGAACGGAAAGGCCCUGCUUUUUUGGGGUGCUCGAGUGGCGAACGGGUGAGUAACACGUGAGUAACCUGCCCUUGACUUUGGGAUAUCUUCAGGAAACUGGGGCUAAUACCGGAUAGGAGCUCCUGCUGCAUGGGGGGGGUUGGAAAGCUUCGGCGGUUGGGGAUGUACUCGCGGCUUACCAGCUUGUUGGUGGGGUAGUGGCUUACCAAGGCUUUGAGGGGUAGCCGGCCUGGGAGGGGGACCAGCCAGACUGGGCCUGAAAUACGGCCCGGACUCGUACGGGAGGGAACAGUGGAGAAUAUUGCACAGUGGGAGGAAGCCUGAUGCAACAACGCCGCGUGCGGGAAAACGGCCUUCGGGUUGGAAACCGCUUUCGCCUGUGACGAAGCGUGAGUGACGGUAAUGGGUGAAGAAGCACCGGCUAACUACGUG